GAUCAAGCGAAUAAGUGCAUGUGGUGGAUGCCUUGGCGAUUACAGGCGAAGAAGGACGUACAAGCCUGCGAAAAGCUCUGGGGAGCUGGCAAUGAAGCUUUGAUCCAGAGAUGUCCGAAUGGGGAAACCCACUCCGCAAGGAGUAUCCCACGCUAAAUACAUAGGCGUGAGGAAGCGAACCCGGCGAACUGAAACAUCUAAGUAGCCGGAGGAAAAGAAAUCAACCGAGAUUCCCAAAGUAGUGGCGAGCGAAAUGGGAUCAGCCUGCAAGUGAUAGCGAUUGCGUUAGCGGAAGCCUCUGGAAAGUGGUGCCGUAGUGGGUGACAGCCCCGUACGCGAAA
rnacentral:rRNA from 1 species